CCAAUCCUCUUCUUUCAGAUAACAACAGGCCAAAGCACCAGGAUCAACAGGAUGAGCCUCUGAAGAAAUAGUGGUGUCGCUGAGAGAAAUUAUGUGAAACAGAAUAAAAUGGAGGUUUCAAGAAAGACUGAUCAGCCAUUCCAACGGUAUCAACAUGUGUGUCACUGACUUCUAACCUCAAAUUUGCCCAAAAUAAGUGCCUCUGAUGUCUACCCUCAAACAUGCCCAAUCUGCAAGAAAGAAAUAGAGAGCCAGGAUGAUGCAGUUCGAAUUCGUGAAAAGGGUGCCAGUGGAAUCAAUGAAGCAAGUGCUAAAAGAAGUGACAGCAUUAUUGUGACAGCUGGUUGCGUAGUUCAUUCAAAUUGUCGUAAGCGGUACAUAAGACCACAUGACAUUACAAAUUCAUUGAACAAGAACAAAAGUAAACCAUUGCUAAAAAGAAAUGCGCGGGCAUUCACUUGACCAUUUGAUAACAAAUCCAAUUGUCUUUUCUGUGGAACUAAAGUUACAUUUAACGCCUCAGAUUUCAGUUUUGUAAAGACAGAGAAUUUUGUUAAAACAAUAUUGCAGUGUUGUCGUGACCGUUCGGAUGACUGGGGUGUUAUGGUGAAAGGUCGAAUUGAGUACUAUGGUUGUGACUUACAUGCAGCUGACUGUGUAUAUCACCACUCCUGUGAUGGGAACUUUCGAUCCGGGCGUGAUAUUCCCCAUAGGUUUAAAGUGGAGCCAAAUACAAAGCAAAGAAAAUCAGGACGACCCAAAAAUGAAGACCAAGAUCAGGCCUUUUCGAGAAUGUGCUCUUAUCUUGAAGUUAAUGAUGAGGAACAAUUGACAGUGUCUGCCCUAAGGGAUAAAAUGAAAGAAUGUCUUUGCAGUGAAGAUUUCUU